GGGGGAAUGAAACUGUACAGUAGAGGCAGAUGGAGUUAGUGGGAGCUUCAGCUGAUUAGCUACACGAGUCCAUGUGACCAGAUGGGAGGAAUUCAAGGAUGUCAGAGGACCUGGCCGAUGUCACUGCAAAGCCAUUCUCUGUCACUGGUCACAGUGGAAGUUCCUAAUGACAGAAAAAAAGGCAAAUGUCACAGCUAUAUCCUCAGGAAGGGCAAGAAGGAAGACUGGGAAACUAGAGGCUGAUCAACAACACCAUUGGUCCAUGAGAAGAUGUGUGUGCAGCCAUACCCAUGCAUUUUGGAGACAUAACCAUGUUGAGACCUAUGUUUUCCUCCUUCUGUGAUUCUGAAGAUCUUCUACAGCAUCACUUCAAGGUUUUACACCUGAAACGGGUUCAUUUUCACUUGUCUGAUGCACAUUUCCAGCCAGCAGCCGGGAGACCGAAGAGGAUUCAAUCCGCAAUUGUUCUGAAAGCACACAAACUGAAUAAAUGUUUAUAACCCUAAAUGGUGUCACCGCAGCAGAUGAAUGGCAGCAGAACAAUGGGCACCGAUGCACUCUUCAGGCCGCAGCCAAGUUCCCUAGCAACUACAGAGGAGCUGUGCAGCCUGCAGAGGUACUGUGAGUGCCAGCAGGCCGUUAUCUGAGAAAUGACUGAGAAAUGAUCUUAGUGCCGUAUUUCAUUGAGGAGAUACCAUUAAUCAAUUGCCUGUUUGUAAUUCACGGAUACCACUUUUUCCCUUUGGGUAAACUAUUAGGUAAGAAUUCCUCUGGCUAGCGAUUUCAUUGUUAUUUAGUUUCAUGUAUGUGUUAGCAUUAAUUACAUAGGUUUAAAGUUGUUUGAGUUCCAAGGAAAUAGCACCAGGUAGCUGCUAUGCUGUAAGAAAAGCACACCGAGCUGAAGUUUGACACUAAGCUAAACUGAUGUAAUGGCUGCUAAAAGCUUGAGUGCCAAUUGCUUCCUUGGUUUAGAACUGUGUUUUGAAACACGUAGAUAGGUACAAGGCAAAAGGGAAAAAGAAAAGCAAUGGCUUUAUCGAAGAGAUAUUGUUAUUUAUUAAAUCAGUUAAUCAUACGUUGCCAGCCUAAUUAAUAAUUGCUGGUGCAAGGAAUGCCACAGAUUAGGCUACACUGAUACCAUGUGCUCCAAACAGAUGAUAGAAAGUUGUACUCUGACCUUCCCAUGUGUCUGACCGCAACAGAGAACAGGUCACCCCAUCUUCUAUAACACUGCGCUCUCUGCUGCUCUGUUACUCAUUGUGUCAGGGGAGGGGCAGCUGGGGGUUAGGGACAGGGUCUGCACCAGAGGGGGGUGGGCAUGGAACGGGCUGCCCAGGGCUGUGGGCACUGCCCCCAUUGCUGGAGUUCAGAGAGCAUCUGGACAGUGCUCUCAGAUGUAGGGUCUGAUUUUGGGUGGUGCUGUGUGGAGAAUGGAGUUGGACUCGAUGAUCCUUGUGGGUCCUGUCCAGCUUGGGAUAUUCUGUGCUUCUAUAAUUCCACGAUUCUAUGAACCUAGGGGAUUGUGAAUUGUUCUUUACACACAUCUGGAAGUAGAUCGCCAACAUGUAGCUUUACUUCUACCCUGACAAACACUGCUUUCAGUCCGAUUUGACUGUCCGAUUUGACUUUUCCGUUGACCCCCUGCCUCCCUUCUCCAGUGUUUCAGCACAGCUGGAAGAAUUCAACUCUUCAACUUCAGAAGGUUUGCUUGGAAGCAGGGAAGCAGUGGGCAAUGCCACAUCACACCAGUCACUUGCCACAGAAACCUCCUAACUGCUGUCUUCUGUAUCUGCACAAGCUGUCAUGCUUAUUGUUGCACCAGGAGAGAUCUUGCACAGCAGCAGUGGAGCUGGGGGAAGGCUGUAUCUCCCCAGGCUAAUCUGGUUAACCAUGAAAGCUGUCAGGACUUGUUCACCCGCAGCAAAAGACUCAUCCUGGUCACUAUAAAAGAACAAAACUGCCAUGCAGCAAGAGCUCCCCACUCAAGCUUGUGGCUCACCCUAAAAUGCAGCUGAAAGCACUCUCUCGUGCAGAGCCCAACCCCUAAAUCUCCAUCACAUGGGAAAGUUCCCCACAGCUGUGACUGUUACAGGCUUCCCUGUUGCUUCACGUGUCCUUUCCAACACUUGCUGAACCAUCAUAAGCUGUUGUUUCAGAUCACACGCACACAUGGCUUUACAAAAGGCAAAGCAUCUCUUUAAACAAUAAGCUUUUCAUAGAACCAUAGAAACAUAGAAUGGCUUGCGUUAGAAGAGACUUCAAAGGUCAUCUGAUUCCAACCCACCAGCUCAGGCUGCCCAGGGCCCAUUCCAACCUGGCCUUGAGCACCUCCAGGGAUGGGGCACCACAGCUUCUCUGGGCAGCUGUGCCAGCGCUUCACUGCCCUCUGAGUAAAAAGUUUCCCCCUAAUAUCCCACCUAAAUCUCCCCUCUUUUAGUUUAAAGCCAUUCCUGCUUGUCCUAUCACUAUAAGACCAUGUAAAAAAUUGGUCUCCCUUCUGCUAAUAAACUUCUUCUAAGCACGGCAAGGCCACUAUCAGGUCUCUCUGGAGCUUUCUCUUCUCCAGGCAGCUCAAGCCCAGUUCCCUCAGCCUGUCUUCACAGGAGAGGUGCUCCAACCCUCUGAUCAUCUUCCUGCUGUUGUCUGGACCCACUCCAACAUCUCCACAUCCCUUCUACGCUGGGGACCCCAGGCCUGGACGCAGUACUCCAAGUGGAGCCUCACGAGGGCAGAGCAAAGAGGGACAUUCACUUCCCUCCCCCCCGCUGGCCACCCCUUCUUUUGCCGCAGCCCAGUGUACAAUGAGGUAACCCUUCCCUGCGAGCUCCCUCGGCUACGCCCGACACCUGGGCCAAGGGAGGCGCCCUUCCCGAGGGGCCACCUGCGCCCAUCCGGGGCCGGCGCGAUGCGGCCGGAAGGGGGCGCCGCCGUCCCGCCUGUAGAACCGGAGCAGAACAUGGCGAGUAGCCCGGCGCUUCGCCAGGGCCCCGGGCAGGGGGAGGGCGACCGUGGCUCUCUUUCGCGGCUGCCCUCCGCAGCAGAAGCCAACAGAACCGUGUGGGUGUGGCACUGAGGGACGUGGUCAGUGGGCAUGGCGGGGAUGGGAUGACACUUGGGCUAGGUGACCUUAGAUGUCUCUUCCAACCUUAAUGAAUCUGUGAUUCUAUAUUUGAGAAGUUAAAAACAGUUGAAACAAGGAUUGUGGGAUUGUGGAUGUUACCUGCUUUCACCGUUCCUUUGUCGUUAAAUGUCUGGCAUUCACAUAUUAGUAUGUGGCUGGCUAACGAGGAAGUGAAAUAUUAAUUUCUCCUCAGUCAGGAAGCUCCUGGAUGGAAGUUCACCUCAGUCAAGUCUCACUUUGAGAGCUUAAUUCUGAUCUGUCCAGCUUUGUGAUUACUUGCUCUCAUACUAUGCAUUGGAGUCACACACUGCUUUGCUAUAGGACUGAAAGAGUUCAAAUUUUAAGGUAGUUUUCAAAUCAAAUUCAUGGUUUGGGUUGAAAGGGAGCUCACAGCCCACCCACCCCAACCUGUGCCGUGGGCAGGGCUGCCCCCCACCAGCUCAGGCUGCCCAGGGCCCCAUCCAACCUGGCCUUGAGAGCCUCCAGGGAUGGGGCACCACAGCUUCUCUGGGCAGCUGUGCCAGCGCCUCACCGCCCUCUCAGCAAAAAGUUUCCACCAACAUCUAAUCUAAAUGUGGCACUUCAGUGGAUUGUGUUAAAUAAAUACUUAAAUAAAUAAAAUUCCAAACUCGUUAAUGGCCACUCUUCUAUGUCUAGACCAGUCUGUGGCCUUACUCUCUCCACCUAGUCCUGUUCGUCCACUUUCUAACCUGGGAUAUUGCUUCCUGAAUUCUCAGCUGUAAUCUGCAGGCCCUCUCUGGACAGCAUGUCUCUGCAGUGGUUGUUUAUAUGGUGUCCUCUGUAGUGGUGUUCUUUCCUAAAGGUUCAUGGUGUAGUAAUAAAUUCUUUGAAAGACGCCGUCAGAGGAGGUCAUGGGAGCAAAGACACACGCAAGGAAUUGAUGGCACUUCAGCAUUUUGCUAGUAAAGACACAAGCUGUCCUGUAGGAACAGGAAAGCUAUUGUUGGACUGAAUCCGCCUGUCUUCCUCUGGUGCCAGCACUCCACAAAGCGUGCAUUUUGUGACUGUAAUGCUAUUCAGCCUCGCAAAAGGUACAGCCUGGGACCAAUCGGAGAACAUGAUUAAAUGCUCAGCUUCCAUCCCUCAUAUAAAGGUCGUGUAUUUGUAUUCCAGCUAAGUCAGCCGUCAGCGUUUGUAAAGUGUCUGAUGUUCUCUUAUUGCUGUGCAAACAAUGGCAAAACCAAAACAGAAUUAAAUUUCAAUUAAUCUGAGACAUUCAUAACAGGCAUUAGAACAAUAAGCAUGUUUUGUUAUUAACCUUCCUCCUUCAUAUGAGAUUUUGACCUCUUUAUACUAAUCUGAUUUUAUUUGUCAAAUUAACUGUAGAAUUCAAUAUUAGUAGUCCCAGACAAUGACUCAAGCUUCAUCACCUCCUAUUCCCUCUUUGUGGGAAAAAGAAGGUAAUUAUUACUUUUAAAAAUAAUAACAACCUUGGAGUGAAGUUUCAUUUCUUAUUUCUUAAUGACGAGACCCUUUUUUUCUCUUGCUGUUUUUUAACCUUUAGAAUGGAUUUUCCUUUUCAAACUCUGUUUUUUUUUUUUUUUCUGAGCAUUUUUGAGGUCUGGAAACAUUUCUUUUUUCGUAAUGGAACCUGAGAUUCCUGACUAAUGACUUGCCUUUGGGAGCUGAGAUUUUAAUUAAAAAAGAAAAAAAAAAAAAAACCACCCAAAGUGGGGCAGUUGUGAUAAAAUCAUAAGAAUUGGCAAUAUAUUUAUGUGUCUACGCCAGGUAGGGAAGCAUUGUGAAGGAGAAGAAAACUGCCUGACUGUAAGCAGACCUUCUUGAUGAUGAAACCCUGCAGGGCUAUGGCCAGCUAUGGCACCUGUAAGACAUAGAGGGGUGGUUACAGAGCAAGUGCAGGAGAGUGAUAUCUUCAGCCACGAGGACUGCUUUGUAUCAUGUUCUUCACUGAGAUAAACAUCUCCUCCUAGCAGCUCCUUAUCUGCUGAUAAUCUUGCCAUAUCCCAGUCCACAUCUGAAGUGCAUGCACGUUUUGGGGCAAGGGUAGUGCUGGCUGGGACUCUGCCCAGUUCCAAGUAGGUACAAGAGGCUCGGGGCCAACUGUUUAUUGGGCUGUACUAUUUAUACAGUAAUUCUCGACUUGCUUGGAACAAGGGACAGAUCAAGGCUUAAUCCCCUUUCCCGGACAACCCUAUUACCUAACACCAAGAGUGGUAGAAAAGUCCUAAUCUUCAGAGGGAGAGGGACAGUAAAAGUUCCUCUAUCAGAGAUUGUUAAGAUAGCCCAGAACAAAGCCUUAGAGAGCUAUUGGCUACAGUGCGCCUGAAAAGGAGAUAACCCAGCAGAUGUCUGGGUUUGCAUUGCGGUGUAAUUACAGGUGAGCUUUAAAGUCACUGGGAAUCAGCUGACUGUUCUGGGAAGAACAGCAGCGGUAUGUUGCUGCUGUGCCUGUUUCAGCACAAAAGCACACAUCUCAUGAACAGGCACG
ensembl:lncRNA